UACGGGGGGAGCAAGCGUUGUUCGGAUUUACUGGGCGUAAAGGGCGCGUAGGCGGCCACCGCAAGUCGACUGUGAAAUCUCCGGGCUUAACCCGGAAAGGUCAGCCGAUAAUGCGGGGCUAGAGUGCAGAAGGGGCAACUGGAAUUCUCGGUGUAGCGGUGAAAUGCGUAGAUAUCGAGAGGAACACCUGCGGCGAAGGCGGGUUGCUGGGCUGACACUGACGCUGAGGCGCGAAAGCUAGGGGAGCGAACGGG
rnacentral:rRNA from 1 species